CAGACAGGAAAUGUGACGUCGCCUGCAUUCACAUGAUGUCUGUCUGUGUGGCGUGGGUCACUGGGUGGCUUUACUGAGAGCAGGGACAUCGGGGAUGGGUGUUCUGGGCAUCUUAACAAAGGGAAAGUCAGAUUGUUCCUACUGAAGCCCCUUCUCCUUUCAGCUCCCACCAAGACGGCCUGUCCCCAAGGGACUUGGAGUGGAGACUUGAGCCACCACCUGUCAGAGGUGCAGUCUUCACAGGCACAGCUGGAGCCAAGCACCCUGGUGCCCAAAUGUCUGCAACUACAGCUAGAUCAAGGGAAUGGCUUGGCCAGGCAGGGCCUUUCCUCUACCACUUGCAGCUUCUCAGCCAAUGCUGAUUCUGGGAAACAAUGGCCCUUCCAAGCCAUGACUCACUCCACUGGCUCAGACACACUCCCUCUUGCUCACUUUCCCUGGAGUCCAGAGCCUGAACCAGGCACCAGGUAAGAGGAC
rnacentral:lncRNA from 1 species